GACGAACGCUGGCGGCGUGCUUAACACAUGCAAGUCGAACGGAAAGGCCCUGCUUUUGUGGGGUGCUCGAGUGGCGAACGGGUGAGUAACACGUGAGUAACCUGCCCUUGACUUUGGGAUAACUUCGGGAAACUGGGGCUAAUACCGGAUAGGAGCUCCUGCUGCAUGGUGGUGGGUGGAAAGUUUCGGCGGUUGGGGAUGGACUCGCGGCUUAUCAGCUUGUUGGUGGGGUAGUGGCUUACCAAGGCUUUGACGGGUAGCCGGCCUGAGAGGGUGACCGGCCACAUUGGGACUGAGAUACGGCCCAGACUCCUACGGGAGGCAGCAGUGGGGAAUAUUGCACAAUGGGCGGAAGCCUGAUGCAGCAACGCCGCGUGCGGGAUGACGGCCUUCGGGUUGUAAACCGCUUUCGCCUGUGACGAAGCGUGAGUGACGGUAAUGGGUAAAGAAGCACCGGCUAACUACGUG
rnacentral:rRNA from 1 species